rnacentral:rRNA from 1 species
GACGAACGCUGGCGGCGUGCUUAACACAUGCCAGUCGAACGGAAAGGCCCUGCUUUUGUGGGUUUCUCGAGUGGCGAACGGGUGAGUAACACGUGAGUAACCUGCCCUUGACUUUGGGAUAACUUCAGGAAACUGGGGCUAAUACCGGAUAGAAGCUCCUGCUGCAUGGUGGGGGUUGGAAAGUUUCGGCGGUUGGGGAUGGACUCGCGGCUUAUCAGCUUGUUGGUGGGGUAGUGGCUUACCAAGGCUUUGACGGGUAGCCGGCCUGAGAGGGUGACCGGCCACAUUGGGACUGAGAUACGCCCCAGACUCCUACGGGACGCAGCAGUGGGGAAUAUUGCACAAUGGGCGGAAGCCAGCUGCAGCAAAGCCGCGUGCGGGAUAAAGGCCUUCGGGUUGUAAACCGCUUUCGACUGUGACGAAGCGUGCGUGACGGUAAUGGGUAACGAAGCACCGGCUAACUACGUG